ensembl:lncRNA
CCUCAUGCGAAGAGUUGACUCACUGGAAAAGACUCUGAUGCUGGGAGGGAUUGGGGGCAGGAGGAGAAGGGGACGACCGAGGAUGAGAUGGCUGGAUGGCAUCAUGGGCUGGAUGGCAUCACGGACUCAAUGGAUGACACCGCCUUUCCCCCACGCUGGAUCCAUAUGACUUGAUUGGCAUAACUGUCACCCUAGCUCCUGGAAUAGGCAUGUCAACCAGACCCACACCUGUCAGUCUUCUUCAUCCCUGUGGCCACAGUGACUGCUUUGAACGUGACUCCAUUCAGACAAAAGGAAACUGGGACCAGUUCAAGUCAAUGGGUCUGUCAAGGAAAGAGAGCAUCAUCUUCCCUGUUGGUUUUAAGACAGAACAGAGUGUAACCCUGGAGCUGCUGGUGAAAGUGCCACAAUGUGGGUGGACUCUUCCUAUAUAAAGUUCCACAAUAAAGAGACAGACAGAGACUAAUCUUGGAGUCAUAUCUCGAGGUCAGACAUUGAACCCUGAAAUAGGAUGCGAAAGCGCUUCCUGCUCAAAGUCAAGACGAUUGGAUCCAGCAGGGGAAAGGGCCAAAUAAACAACAUCCAAAAGCGUGAGUGGAGAAGUCCGUUUAUGAGGAGCUUUCAAACAAGCCAGCCAACUACAGAGUUUUCCCACAACCGCCCUCCUCUCAACCAGCUGUUUUGAACCCAAGGGUCCAUGAACUUGGAUGGGAAAAAAAAUUACAUCUUAU